AUUCCAAUCGAACUCGGAGAUAGCUGGUUCUCCCCGAAAUAGCUUUAGGGCUAGCCUCAUAUUAGAUACCCGGAGGUAAAGCACUGAAUGGCCUAGCGCCCGAGAGGGUAGCGAAGCCUAUCAAACUAAGAAUGCCGGAGUAUUGAUGUAUGGGAGUCAGACAGUGUGAGAUAAAUCUCAUUGUCAAAAGGGAAACAGCCCAGAUCUACAGCUAAGGUCCCAAAUUGUAUCUAAGUGGAAAACGAUGUGGAAAUACGCAGACAACCAGGAUGUUGGCUCAGAAGCAGCCACUCAUUUAAAGAGUGCGUAAUAGCUCACUGGUCGAGCGUCUCUGCGCGGAAAAUUUAACGGGGCUAAGAUACAAACCGAAGCUUAGGCUGCACGUAAGUGCGGGGUAGGGGAGCGUUGUGUAAGCGGAGAAACAGUAGCGUAAGCGGCUGUGGAGUUUACAGAAGUGAGAAUGCCGGAAUGAGUAGCGCGAAUGUGGUGAGAAUCCACAUGGCCGGAAACCUCAGGUUUUUGGAGGAAGGUUCGUCCGCUCCAAGUUAGGCGGGAGCUAAGGUCAGGCCGAAAGGCGUAGCCGAUGCACAGACGGUAGAGAUUCCGUCCCCACCGAAAGAUUUAAGCACAGGGACACUUUUUGAAGGUCGGAGCCAGGUGUUGGUUCUGGUAGUGAUCGAGGGAAAUAUAGUACCGAAGUCCGGCUGGAAGAGAGGCGAGAAAAGCUGUGUGUAUAUCUAAGGUGCCCGUACCGCAAACCGACACAGGUAGGUAGGAAGAAGAUUCUAAGGCCAACGGGAGAAGGGUUGUUAAGGAACUCGGCAAGUUGACCCCGUAACUUCGGAAUAAGGGGUGCUCACGAGAGUGAGCCGCAGAGAAUAGGCCCAGGCAACUGUUUACCAAAAACACAGGUUUGUGCUAAAUCGAAAGAUGACGUAUACGAGCUGACGCCUGCCCGGUGCUGGAAGGUUAAAAGGAGAUGUGCAAGCAUUGAAUUGAAGCCCCAGUGAACGGCGGCCGUAACUAUAACGGUCCUAAGGUAGCGAAAUUCCUUGUCAGGUAAGUUCUGACCCGCAUGAAAGGCGUAAUGAUUUGGGCACUGUCUCAACAGCCCGCCCGGCGAAAUUGUAGUACCGGUGAAGAUGCCGGUUACCCGCGACAAGACGGAAAGACCCCAUGGAGCUUUACUGUAGCCUGAUAUUGGGUUUCGGUGUUGCAUGCACAGGAUAGAUGGGACACUGGGAAGGCAGUGCUUUGGCAUUGCUGGAGUGGACGUUGGGAUACCAUCCUUGCGACAUUGGAAUUCUAACCUGCGCCUCUGAAUCGAGGCGGGGGACAUUGUCAGGUGGGCAGUUUGACUGGGGCGGUCGCCUCCUAAAAAGUAGCGGAGGCGUUCAAAGGUUCGUUCGAUCUGGACGGAAACCAGAUGAUUGAGUGCAAACGCAUAAACGAGCCUGACUGCGAGACUGACGGGUCGAGCAGAGACGAAAGUCGGAGUUAGUGAUCCGGUGGUAUGUGAGUGGAAAUGCCAUCGCUCAACGGAUAAAAGUUACCCUGGGGAUAACAGGCUGAUCUCCCCCAAGAGUCCACAUCGACGGGGAGGUU
rnacentral:rRNA from 1 species